rnacentral:rRNA from 1 species
GUAGGCGCAAGCGUUAUCCGGAAUUAUUGGGCGUAAAGAGCUCGUAGGCGGUUUGUCGCGUCUGCCGUGAAAGUCCGAGGCUCAACUUCGGAUCUGCGGUGGGUACGGGCAGACUAGAGUGAUGUAGGGGAGACUGGAAUUCCUGGUGUAGCGGUGAAAUGCGCAGAUAUCAGGAGGAACACCGAUGGCGAAGGCAGGUCUCUGGGCAUCUACUGACGCUGAGGAGCGAAAGCAUGGGGAGCGAACAGGAUUAGAUACCCUGGUAGUCCAUGCCGUAAACGUUGGGCACUAGGUGUGGGGGACAUUCCACGUUUUCCGCGCCGUAGCUAACGCAUUAAGUGCCCCGCCUGGGGAGUACGGCCGCAAGGCUAAAACUCAAAGGAAUUGACGGGGGCCCGCACAAGCGGCGGAGCAUGCGGAUUAAUUCGAUGCAACGCGAAGAACCUUACCAAGGCUUGACAUGUGCUAGAUCGCCAUAGAAAUAUGGUUUCCCCUUUGGGGCUGGUUCACAGGUGGUGCAUGGUUGUCGUCAGCUCGUGUCGUGAGAUGUUGGGUUAAGUCCCGCAACGAGCGCAACCCUCGUUCUAUGUUGCCAGCACGUUAUGGUGGGGACUCAUAGGAGACUGCCGGGGUCAACUCGGAGGAAGGUGGGGACGACGUCAAAUCAUCAUGCCCCUUAUGUCUUGGGCUUCACGCAUGCUACAAUGGCCGGUACAAUGGGUUGCGAUACUGUGAGGUGGAGCUAAUCCCAAAAAGCCGGUCUCAGUUCGGAUUGGGGUCUGCAACUCGACCCCAUGAAGUCGGAGUCGCUAGUAAUCGCAGAUCAGCAACGCUGCGGUGAAUACGUUCCCGGGCCUUGUACACACCGCCCGUCAAGUCACGAAAGUUGGUAACACCCGAAGCCGGUGGCCUAACCCCUUGUGGGAGGGAGCCGUCGAAGGGGAUCCCCC